GUUGUAUGGUUAAGUGACUAAGCGUACAGGGCGGAUGCCUUGGCAAUCAGAGGCGAUGAAGGACGUGCUAAUCUGCGAAAAGCUUGGAUGAGUCGAUAAGAGGCGUUUAAUCCAAGAUGUCCGAAUGGGGAAACCCGAUGGAUGAAGAAUCCAUCAUUUCAUGGUGAAUACAUAGCGAUGAAAGGCGAACCGGGAGAACUGAAACAUCUAAGUACCCCGAGGAAAAGAAAUCAACCGAGAUUCUGUGAGUAGCGGCGAGCGAAAGCGGAAGAGCCAGUAAGUUUUAGCUAGCAUAUUAGAGGAAUUGGCUGGGAAGCCAAAUCAAAGAGGGUGAUAAUCCCGUACUCGAAAGUAUGUUAGUGGAACUAAGCUUACGAUAAGUAAGGCGGGACACGAGAAAUCCUGUUUGAAGAUGGGGGGACCAUCCUCCAAGGCUAAAUACUCCUGAUUGACCGAUAGUGAACCAGUACUGUGAAGGAAAGGCGAAAAGAACCCCGGUGAGGGGAGUGAAAUAGAACCUGAAACCCUGUACGUACAAGCAGUAGGAGCGAGGGCAACCUUGUGACUGCGUACCUUUUGUAUAAUGGGUCAGCGACUUAUAUUUUGUAGCGAGGUUAACUGAAUAAGGGAGCCGAAGGGAAACCGAGUCUUAACUGGGCGUUGAGUUGCAAGGUAUAGACCCGAAACCCGGUGAUCUAGCCAUGGGCAGGUUGAAGGUUGGGUAACACUAACUGGAGGACCGAACCGACUAAUGUUGAAAAAUUAGCGGAUGACUUGUGGCUGGGGGUGA
rnacentral:rRNA from 1 species